ensembl:snRNA U6 U6 spliceosomal RNA
GUGCUCACUUUGGCAGCACACAUACUAAAAUCAAAAUGAUAUAGAUUAGUAUAGCCCCUGAACAAGGAUGACAGACAAAUUCAUGAGGCCUUCCUUAUUAAA